rnacentral:tRNA from 2 species
GGCAGUGUAGCUCAGUUGGUAGAGCAGCGGGGUCAUAAUCCGCUUGCCGGGGGUUCGAGUCCCUCCGCUGCUA